rnacentral:rRNA from 1 species
UACGAAGGGGGCUAGCGGUGUUCGGAAUCACUGGGCGUAAAGCGCACGCAGGCGGAUCGAUAAGUCGGGGGUGAAAGCCCGGGGCUCAACCUCGGAAUUGCCUUCGAUACUGUCGGUCUCGAGUCCGGGAGAGGUGAGUGGAAUUCCUAGUGUAGAGGUGAAAUUCGUAGAUAUUAGGAAGAACACCAGUGGCGAAGGCGGCUCACUGGCCCGGUACUGACGAUCAGGUGCGAAAGAGUGGGGAGCAACCAGG